CUCUUAAGAUUGAGCUGUGAUGGGGAGAGGAACUUGUUCCUCGAGUCGUUGAUUUCACACUGCCGAGAAAAGCCUCUAGCUAGAAUAACGGUGCCCGUACCGCAAACCGACACAGGUAGUCAAGAUGAGAAUUCUAAGGUGAGCGAGCGAACUCUCGUUAAGGAACUCGGCAAAAUGACCCCGUAACUUCGGGAGAAGGGGUGCUCUUUGAGGUUCACGCUUCGAAGAGCCGCAGUGAAUAGGCCCAAGCGACUGUUUAUCAAAAACACAGGUCUCUGCUAAACCGUAAGGUGACGUAUAGGGGCUGACGCCUGCCCGGUGCUGGAAGGUUAAGAGGAGUGGUUAGCGCAAGCGAAGCUACGAAUCGAAGCCCCAGUAAACGGCGGCCGUAACUAUAACGGUCCUAAGGUAGCGAAAUUCCUUGUCGGGUAAGUUCCGACCCGCACGAAAGGCGUAACGAUUUGGGCACUGUCUCAACGAGAGACUCGGUGAAAUCAUAGUACCGGUGAAGAUGCCGGUUACCCGCGACAGGACGGAAAGACCCCGUGGAGCUUUACUGUAGCCUGAUAUUGAAAUUCGGUACAGUUUGUACAGGAUAGGUAGGAGCCUUAGAAGCGUGAGCGCUAGCUUACGUGGAGGCAUUGGUGGGAUACUACCCUAAUUGUAUUGGAUUUCUAACCCGCAGCACUUAUCGUGCUGGGAGACAGUGUCAGGCGGGCAGUUUGACUGGGGCGGUCGCCUCCUAAAGAGUAACGGAGGCGCUCAAAGGUUCCCUCAGAAUGGUUGGAAAUCAUUCAUAGAGUGUAAAGGCAUAAGGGAGCUUGACUGCGAGACCUACAAGUCGAGCAGGGUCGAAAGACGGACUUAGUGAUCCGGUGGUUCCGCAUGGAAGGGCCAUCGCUCAACGGAUAAAAGCUACCCCGGGGAUAACAGGCUUAUCUCCCCCAAGAGUUCACAUCGACGGGGAGGUUUGGCACCUCGAUGUCGGCUCAUCGCAUCCUGGGGCUGUAGUCGGUCCCAAGGGUUGGGCUGUUCGCCCAUUAAAGCGGUACGCGAGCUGGGUUCAGAACGUCGUGAGACAGUUCGGUCCCUAUCCGUCGUGGGCGUAGGAAAUUUGAGAGGAGCUGUCCUUAGUACGAGAGGACCGGGAUGGACAUACCUCUGGUGUACCAGUUGUCGUGCCAACGGCAUAGCUGGGUAGCUAUGUAUGGACGGGAUAAGUGCUGAAAGCAUCUAAGCAUGAAGCCCCCCUCGAGAUGAGAUUUCCCAACUUCGGUUAUAAG
rnacentral:rRNA from 1 species